rnacentral:rRNA from 1 species
CAGUAGCCGCGGUAAUACGUAGGGUGCGAGCGUUAAUCGGAAUUACUGGGCGUAAAGCGUGCGCAGGCGGUUGUGUAAGACAGCUGUGAAAUCCCCGGGCUUAACCUGGGAAUUGCGAUUGUGACUGCACAGCUAGAGUGUGUCAGAGGGGGGUGGAAUUCCAGGUGUAGCAGUGAAAUGCGUAGAGAUGUGGAGGAACAGCGGUGGCGAAGGCAGCCACCUGGGACAAUACUGACGCUCAUGCACGAAAGCGUGGGGAGCAAACAGGAUUAGAGACCCGCGUAGUCCCUGUCUCUUAUAC